rnacentral:lncRNA from 1 species
GGUCCUAUUUAGAACAUCCUGGGAUGCUCCUACUAUGUGGGAUCUUUUGGAGAAAAAAACCCAUACCUGAGCAAGUGGAGAGAAGGGACCAGAUUCAGAGGAUACCCAUAAAAUGAUCUGCAAGGGAAAACAAGUUUCUGACCAAGCACGGUUACAACCACAUCUUCCUGGGACAAAUGAAGACAUGUAUCGAUGCCUCACCAACCUUCCAUACACCCCAGGCUUACCUAGGAACUGCCUUCAGCCCACCAUGUCUACCAGAGUGGCGGUAUAUAAUCACUGUUCAACUCCACAGCCAGAGAGAGGUGCAGAAGCCAUCACAGGAAAUGACUAGAUGCCCCUGAGCUCUCUGUUGCUGCUGCCAUGCGGGUGACUGGGAAUCACAUAGUUAACUAAAAGCUUUUACUCAGCUUAAUUUCCUCCACUCUACAUGAUAAUUGCUCUGUUCAUUUUCGCUUUACUUUUAAAUUCAGUGCACAUGCACAAAGACAUAAUGGUGUACGAGUGGAAAAGAGAAGAUGUAUUUUCUAAGCUGCCUGCAGUCUGACAAUUGUUUGAAUGUGUGUGUACAUUUAACAAGAUGGUAGAUUAUAGCAUUACCUUAUCUUCAGGGUAAAACUGCCAUUCAGGAUCCAAAAAUCUCCUAAUGGUUUAUUGAAAUGGUUCCCUCUUGCAAUGCAUCAUCACAGUAGUUUAUGAUAAGGAGAAAAGUAUGUUCUGAUACAAAUCAAAUAAUGCCAAAUACAAAGAGUUGUAAGAGAAAUAGCUCACUUGGGAGAUAGAGAGAAGUGAAGAAAAUGUAUUGGGUGAGAGACGCUAACUAGACCUCUGGAAAGAGAAGUCAGCAAUGACCCAAAUGGGAUACUUGAUUCUCUUCAGUGGUCAAAAACCCUCAGGAGAAGGAUAAAUA